AAUAAUGCUUAAAAAAACUUCUCAGGAAAUCACAAUAACAACACUCCUAGGGCAUGAGUCAGCCAGAGGACCGUCUUCAUAACAGCUAGCAUUUCUUGAGCACUGCUCAUGUGUUGGGCAUUGUGCUAAAUAUUUUUCAUACGUUAUCUAAUUUACUUCUCAUAGCAAUGCUAUGAGGAGGCUAUUGUUCUUAUUUUUCAGAUGAUAAGCUGAGGUUUCAAGAUGUAGAGUAACUUGGUCCUCGUCACUCAGCUAGUAGAACUCAAUCCCAUGUCUGUCUGCCUCCUCCAGAGACAAGGCAUUUCCCUACCAUACUACAUUAUUUUUCAAGAACGAAUCCCUCGUGGAAAGCUUUAUGAUUUGCAAAACUUCUUUUUGCUGUCUGACUCUUUUGCAAUGUUUUUCAGUUAGCGCUAGGAUAACUCAACCCCUUUUGAUCCUUACAGAAGGCUCCUAAGGGGCGUUUCUAUGGUUAUGGGUGUGUAGGGUGGGGUGCUGUUGGGGGACGUUGAUCCCCACUCUGAUUCUACACAACCUGUUCUGUCCUUGUACAGACUCUGUCCUAAUAGGCCCAAAGUCUCAGAUUCUAAGGUAAGCCCUCGAAGGGAUGUGAAGGGAUGUGAAGUUGGGCAGCACGUCGAGUGGGAAGCUGAGAAGAGGAGACACACUGGCGACAAAGAUGAAGCUCCUCUUUGCAAUUUCAUGGUAAACUUGCAAUGGAACAUCAUCCUGAGUGGAAAUAUUUCUCAACAUCAGGUUAGUUUUGUUUUAUAUUUUAAUGAUACAUGUGAGCAUGCACACAUGCUUCACAAGCUUUGGAUGUAACUAAAAAAUUCUUUUUUGUGUUCUUU
rnacentral:lncRNA from 1 species